rnacentral:rRNA from 1 species
CCUACGGGUGGCAGCAGUGAGGAAUAUUGGUCAAUGGCCGUAAGUCUGAACCAGCCAAGUAGCGUGAGGGAAGACUGCCCUAUGGGUUGUAAACUUCUUUUAUGCGGGGAUAAAGGUGUCCACGUGUGGAUGUUUGCAGGUACUGCAUGAAUAAGGACCGGCUAAUUCCGUGCCAGCAGCCGCGGUAAUACGGAAGGUCCGGGCGUUAUCCGGAUUUAUUGGGUUUAAAGGGAGCGUAGGUCGGUCUUUAAGCGUGCCGUGAAAUUUUGUGGCUCAACCAUGAGAGUGCGGAGGGGACUGGGGACGUUGAGUGCGCGGGAGGCAGGCGGAAUUCGUGGUGUAGCGGUGAAAUGCUUAGAGAGCACAAAGAACCCCGAUUGCGAAGGCAGCCUACCGAUGCAUUACUGACGCUGAGGCUCGAAAGCGCGGGUAUCGAACAGGAUUAGAUACCCGAGUAGUC